rnacentral:rRNA from 1 species
UAAGUAGGUAGUGAAAGCUGACGGCUCAACCGUACAGACUAUUAUCUAAACUGGUAAACUCGAGAAUGGUAGAGGUAACUGGAAUUUCUUGUGUAGGAGUGGAAUCCGUAGAUAUAAGAAGGAACACCAAUGGCGUAGGCAGGUUACUGGACCAUUUCUGACACUGAGGCACGAAAGCGUGGGGAGCGAACGGGAUUAGAUACCCCGGUAGUCCACGCCGUAAGCGAUGGAUACUA